rnacentral:sRNA from 1 species
GCUUCCUGCCAUGAUGAUACUGAACUGAACCUCUGAACCUGUAAGCCAGUUCCAUUUAAAUGUCUGCCUUGGUCAUAGUUUCUUUUUAUAGUGAUGAAAUCCCUAAGACAGAAGUUGGUACCAGGGACUAAGGCAUUGCUGUGACAGGCCUGAUCACAUUUUUGUUUAGAAGAAUGUGGAUUUUGGGACUUUGGAUUUGGAAAACAGUGGAGUGCUUUAAGUGGGGCUUAGUAGGUCAUACCAGUAGGAAGAUGGAGGACGUUGGUGCUGAGGGUGAUUUGAACUGUGGAAGCCUGACUAUAGAGGCUCCAGAGAAGAAAAAUUAUAGUAUGUGGGGUAGAGAACUUUUUUUUUAUUGUACUUUGGUAAAGAAUGUGGCUGCUUUUUGCCCUUAUCUGCCUGAGGCUGUGGUAGACUUUUGUAUGUGUGUUUAGAAUGUGCAGUGAGCUAGCUGGCUUCUCUGUAGUCAGGAGAGUGCAGCCUCAUGCUCCUAAGGGUGUUGACAGGCCUCAGCUCUUGAUUGGACAGAUUUUGAAACAGGCCGAAUUCUGAGUCAGAUUCCCAUCUUUCCAGCACUGUUGGAUCGCAGACCAUACUUUCAGCCAGAGGUGUAGCUCAAAGGUCACAAUCGAGCAGCAGGUUACAAUAGAGCAGAUCUGAUGCUGUCACUGACAUAGGCCAAGUUAACGUUGCAUGACUUCGAAUCUGAAAGACUAUAGGUAUUACUGUAGGAAUUUACCACAAGGUACAAUGUCAAUUAAACAACACAUUUGAUAAAUGAAUGCUGUCUAUAUAAAGUAUUGCAUGUAUCAAACACUAGUAACAUCUUUUUAUAUGUGAGAACCUCUUUCAUUUUCAUAGAUAUUCUAUAAGGAUGAGAUUGUAACAGCAACUCAGACUAGAAAACUGAGGCAUCAGAACUGGGAGGAAAUCUAGGCAGCUGGUGUGAGAGUCUACAGGAUGCACGGCUCUGACACGUGGGUGAGAUCUAUUGUUUACAUUCACCAAUCAGCACAUGCAAGAUUCCUUAAAUAUUAAGUUAAAUCUCAGUGUUAGCAUAUUUUAAUGCUCACUGCAUUGUAUUUUGAAAAUAAACUGUAAGAUAUAUAAUGUUGAGAUUUUAGUCAAUAAUUCCAUUUUUUUAUACACUGCCAUCUUAGUGAAUGUCUUGUUGGUACCUGAGGAACCAUAUCCAGACUCUCAAAGUAUCUCUGUAAUCCUUUGCAGCAUUCUGAGAUACUUUCUUCAAUGGUCCUUCUACUUCCCCACAGAAAUGCCCCCUAUCUAUGAGACAUACUAGCCUGAAAUCACAUUCAUUCUGGAAAUUUUCACAUUAAUUACUAUUAAUACAUUUCAUGAGUAUGUUAGGGAUUAUUGCAUCUCCUGAAUUAUUAAUUUAAACUGUUGAUAAAACUUUAACAUCUCAUAAACUCAGUUUUUGACUUUUCAAAGUUUCAAUGGGACUCCAAGUCCCUUCAGAGCAAAGAGCAAGUGUUGAUUGUGUAAUAAACUUGCUUAGUUGUGUGUGUAUAUUAUAGCUACAGCCCACAGGAAAGUAAAUAAAGAUUAUUUCUAAGAUUCAUAAAACCUAUAGUCAUAAAAAUAUUAAGAUAAGGGCUAGCAAGAUGGUCCUUAGGCUAAGAACACUGCCUAUACAAUCUUGAAGAUCUAAGUUAAAUGCCUGGAAUGCAAGGUUCCCAAGAAGAGAGCAAGUUCUCACAAGUUAUUGUCUGAUCCCCUCCAUAUACAUGAUGUCUCAUGCAUGAGCCUAUCUACACAAGAGACGCCUGGGAAGAUUGCUGGGCGGUUAAAACAUUUGCUAUAUAAGCAUGAAGACGAGAGUUUGGAUCCCCAGAUCCCACAUAAAUGUAGAGCUUGGAGGCCUACCUAUAAUUCUAGUGUUCAGAAGGUAGACACAAGAGAUCAUCAAAGCAAUCUGGCUUCCCUGCCUAUCCAUACUGGUGAGCUUUGUAUUCGAGUAAAUGACUGCCUCAAUUAAUAGUGUAGACAAUGACUAAGAAAGACCCCAGCUAGAUUUUUGCUGUAUAUUUACCUGUAACAUUUAAGCAACAACCUUGGGAAUUGUGUGUUAAAUACUAAAGUGGUCCUGACCAUUUGAGAGUUUAGGGGAGGCUGGGAUGCACUGUCAAUGGGGUUGGGAUUUAAGAUGGGUCUAUGAGUCUGAAUAGUACUAAGACAAAGGAGAAGAAAGAAAGGUGUUUAAGACUGAGAGAAAUGUAUGUGUUCAGAAGACUGUAUAUUGAACACAUAGAAAUUGCAAGACUGAUCUGUUAGGCUGGGUUGUAGAAAACCAUAAACAUUGUAUAAAUGACAGUAUCUUAGAUAUUAGGAAAUUAUUAAAGGAAUUUUUGCUUAUAGUGAUAGCGUGAAAAGGCUGAUUAAAGGAAUUAAUUUGAAAGUUAUGAGAGAGAGUAGUAGAGUUAUUCUGUAAUAAGAAAAUAUAGCUUCUAAAAUUUUUGAAUUUUUAACCCCUCUCUUAAGUUUUAACCCAAAUAAAAUUUAUUAUUUUUGGAAGCAAAUUUAAGGGGAAAAGACUAAAAGGAGUGAAAUUCUACCAAAUGUCAAGCUAUAUUUAGUGGCCAGAACUAGCCAGGAAGGCAUAGCUUUGUGAGACAAAUCAAAUCUCUGGAUUUGCAUUCAAUAAACAAGCUUAGGUAUUAAGUCAGUCAUUUACAUUUAUGAUAGGCAAUAUCCUAAUAAAUAAUUUCCAGCUGUACUGCAUUAUUUGAUAUCACUCCUAUGUUACUACCACUAUAUUAAAUGAAAGUAGUAAAACAAGUCUUAUAUUUUGUUGAUGAACUCUAUGUUUUGUUAUGGAUUUGUCAUUACGUGGGCUUAUGUCAUUUUCACAUCACUUACCAGAUUCAACACAUUAUCAAAGUUGUUGACAUUUCUGUUUCGAGUGCAUUUUAAUGUCAGUUUAUACAUGGAAAAGAAUGAAAAACUCCAACAGGGACAUUGAUAGUUGGAGAAAAGUAGGCCUUCCUCAGAGCUCAAGUGAGCAAGAAAGAAGAGUCCUCAUAAAAUCUGAGACAACUAGACCCAAUGCUCAAGAAAUUGCCUCAGAAAUUAUUUCCUAUAACUUUUAAUUUCUUGUGGGAUACAUGAUAAUUUUCAAAGGUUAAAGGCGAUCAAUGAAGGUAACAUCAGAGAAAAGCCAGCUGACAAUUAACUGGUUUGGAAGCAGAUUGUGUAGUCUCUGAAACACUGCAGAGCAUCUUGACUAUAACUCAAAGUACAAGUCCUGUGCAAGUCCUGUACAGUUAUUUGUCAUAGAGCUCCAAUCUGUUUUAAUAGCAAGGAUUGGUUUGAGGACAUAUGUUCACCAAUGCAUUUGUCCAAUGACUAUUCACUGAGUGACUAAAUUUCAGGCUAUAAACGAUAAAAUAGAACCAUGUAGAAUGAAAGAGAACGUCGAGACCAGAAAGGUGAUGAGGGUCAGAAUGUUUCAUUUUAAGCGUUUGUGGUAGAAAUUCCUUGACUUUUUAUACAGGCUCCAGUGGAAGAAUAGAAGUCCCUCCCCUCUUCUGCCCACAGGCCAGAUCAAAGCAUGCAGAUGAUGCCACCACCUACUUUGCAGUGUGGUUGCAUGGCCAAAUGAAACUGAGCCCAUCAAAGUGAAGUAGGACAUCAAAGCAAUUCUCAAAGUUCAUGACCUGCUUCUGGCUUGAAUGAUCUCUGUUUGGGUAUACAGUGAGAAAGGAGCGAGUGAGACACAAGGAAAUGCAAGGAGGUUGCAAUUAAGAGACUACUUUGAGUUCAGAAGAGACUUUGGGCCUUCAAACUGUGUUGAGACUGCGAAAGAUUAUAGAGACUUUUGAAGAUGGAUUAAAUCUAUUUUGCAUUCUAUGGGCACAAACCUAUGGGGUCAGAGAGUGGAAUAGGGUGGUUUGGAUGAGAAGAGUCCCAUAUUGACUUUCAUGUUUAAAUACUCCAUCUACAGUUGGAGGUACUGUUCGGGAAGGAUUAGAAGAUACGGUCUUGUUGGAGGAGAUGUGCUGUGGGGCUGGUCUUCGAGAGCUUCCAGUCAUUCUUAGUAAAGUCUAUUUCCUGUCUGUAAAUUAUAAUGUGAGCUCUCAACUACUGCUCCAGAACCAUGAAUGUCUGCCUGCUGCCAUGUUCCCUACCGUGAUAGUGACAGUCACCUAACUCCCAGGAACUACAAGCUCCAAAUAAGCCAACCUCUAUUGUCUUAAUCAAUGUGACUUUAUCACAGCAAUAGAAAAAUAACUAACACACCAUGUAAAAAUGCUAUGAUGGGAGCAAAGUAGAUUGUUUAAAGGCAGACAAGGAUUGUGUUAGUAAAACAAGGUACUAUAUAACAAAGAUGACAAUAGCCAUGCAUGAUUCAACUUAGCAAUUCUUUCUUCAUAUUAUUACCUUUCUAUUUGUUUUAUGUGUUGAGCAUGCACAUAUGCUUAUGUGUUUAUGUGUUGUGUGUUCACAUGUAGCAGUGUGCAUGCUGUUCUUUUCUUCUACUGUGAUGGUUACGGAGACUGAACUCAGAUCUCAGACGUGGUAAAGGUUACCUUUACCCAUAAGCUGUCCUGUUAGCCCUAAUUUAGUAAUUUCUAUUUGAUCUCUUAGUUAUUAUCAUGCAGAUUCUUAAGCCAAGGUUAUUUGGGAAUUUAAAUUAUCUAGGUUAGUAUUUUUAAACUUUGCAGUGUGCAUGCAAAUGUGUAAUCUCACAUUAAGUGAGGUUAGAAAAAGUAACGUAAAAUACAGGAACAAAAAUGGAGGAAAGACUGAAGGAAAAGCCACCCAGUGUAUCCCAUAUGCAGGCACCAAACCCUGAUUCUAUUCUAUUAAUGAUGCCAUGUUGGGCUGGAAGACAGGAGCCUAACAUGGUUGUCCUCUGAGAGGCUCUAUCAGCAGCUAGCAGAGACAGAUGCAGAUAUUUAAACCAACCAUUGGAUUCCUAUGAAAAAGCUAGGGGAAGGACUAAAGGACCUGAAGGGGAUUUCAACCCCAUAGGAAGAACAACAGUAUCAAC